rnacentral:rRNA from 1 species
GACGAACGCUGGCGGCGUGCUUAACACAUGCAAGUCGAACGGAAAGGCCCUGCUUUUGUGGGGUGCUCGAGUGGCGAACGGGUGAGUAACACGUGAGUAACCUGCCCUUGACUUUGGGAUAACUUCAGGAAACUGGGGCUAAUACCGGAUAGGAGCUCCUGCUGCAUGGUGGGGGUUGGAAAGUUUCGGCGGUUGGGGAUGGACUCGCGGCUUAUCAGCUUGUUGGUGGGGUAGUGGCUUACCAAGGCUUUGACGGGUAGCCGGCCUGUGAGGGUGACCGGAGACAUUGGGACUGAGAUACGGAACAGAAUGCAACGGGAGGCAGCAGUGGGGAAUAUUGCACAAUGGGAGGAAGCCGGAUGCAGAAACGCCGCGUGCGGGAUGACGGCCUUCGGGUUGUAAACCGCUUUCGCCUGUGACGAAGCGUGAGUGACGGUAAUGGGUAAAGAAGCACCGGCUAACUACGUG